rfam:Gaeumannomyces graminis var. tritici R3-111a-1 unplaced genomic scaffold supercont2.3, whole genome shotgun sequence.
GCCCGCUUGGCUUAGUGGUAAAGCGUAUCACUAGUAGGGGAACCUUAGGAUAUGAUAAGAUCGUCAGUUCGAUUCUGACAGUGGGCA